rnacentral:rRNA from 1 species
UACGUAGGGGGCAAGCGUUAUCCGGAUUUACUGGGUGUAAAGGGAGCGUAGACGGCAUGGCAAGCCAGAUGUGAAAUACCGGGGCUCAACCCCGGGACUGCUCUUGGAACUGCGUGGCUGGAGUGCAGGAGGGGCAGGCGGAAUUCCUGGUGUAGCGGUGAAAUGCGUAGAUAUCAGGAGGAACACCGGUGGCGAAGGCGGCCUGCUGGACUGCAACUGACGUUGAGGCCCGAAAGCGUGGGGAGCAAACAGG